GAUCAGUGACUAUCCAGUCCUUUCACAGACACUGACACAGGCAGCAUUAUGAUGAUGUUAAACUUUCUACUGCUGGUGAUGCUGGGACUCCUGGUACAGGAAUCAAUGGCAGAUAUAAUUCUGACUCAGUCUCCAUCAGCUCAGUCUGUCCAGCUGGGAGACACUGUCUCUAUCAGCUGUACAGCCAGUCAGAGUGUGGGCAGCUUGCUCAGCUGGUACCAGCAGAAACCUGGUCAGGCUCCUAAACCUCUGAUUUAUUUUUCCACGAGACGCCAGUCUGGGAUUCCUGAUCGUUUCAGUGGGAGUGGAUCUGGGACUCAGUUCACACUGAAAAUCGCUGGAGUCCAGGCAGAAGAUGCAGGAGAUUAUUACUGUCAGCAGUACAACAGCUACCCGCUCACACAGUGAUACAGAGCCAUACAAAAACCUCCCUCAGUUAGACUGCACAGAGACUGCACUGCUGCAGCUGGGACCAACUGCAGGUGCUGAGGGAGGGGGGAGGCACUGAACCGGGGCAAUGAGGGGCUGAGCAAAAUGCUGAGCUGUUUUUUGCAAUAAUUACUCUCAUAUUCUAAUAUCUAAUACAAUUUCUCUCAAUGUCAAUGUGAGUAAAUACAAAAACUUUUUAUUGAAAGAAUACACUUGAGACAUAGGAAUUUGUGAGAAUAAAUUUGUUUAAUCUCUUCUGAAACAUAAAAAGGAAGGGGGACCUUUUCACCACGUUGUAAACACAAGGAGAAGAUGCACAGAUUUAACAAAAGACUGAAAUUGAGAAUUGAAAUUCAAAUAUGUUCACUGGGCCAGAGGUGGGACUCAACACGCACAAAUGAAAUAUCUUGAAUGUAAAGUGUGUACAUAUUUGGGUUUUUUCCAGGGGUAAAUUAUAAUUAUGGAUCUAAAUAAGGGUUUUUUCCACAUUAGUCAAUGUUACUUUAAUAUUGAUGACGAGACCCUGAUGCAUUCUUAGACAAUUAUUUCCCCGAAGUUGCACAAGAUAAUUAGAUAUUAAUACCACAUAUCAAGUAGCUAAAUUAGCUAAAGCCUACAGAGCACAGAUUGGGAGGGUGGGGGUUGGUAUUUUUCCUGGAUGCACAGAAAUUUUGCAGUUCAGCAGUAAAUCAUGCACGUGUUCACCAAAUUACCAUUUCCUGUCAAACUGUUCAUUUUCUAAUCUAACAAAGCGAGUUAUUUUCUCCAUGGCAUGUUCUUCUUUUACAU